GUUUUUUGCUGACGAAGAUUCACCCUGAGCUAACAUCCACUGCCAAUCUUCCUCUUUUUGUAUGUGAGCCACCACCACAACAUGGCCACUGACAGACGAGUAAUGUAGGUCCACACCCAGGGACUCAACCCAGACCACUGAAGCAGAGCAUGCCAAAGUUAACCACUAGGCCACCAGGGCUGGCCCCAGGACUUUUAAGUUUUAAUUCGGGGCUCAGGGUCUGCAUAAGGGACCUGAUAGCUUCUAUGAUGGCCCUGAAAGAAACACCACCUCCUGUAGUUGUGGAGCUGAGAUAUUAAAAACCAAACCUAAGUCUAUUCCUGCAAAAUAUGGCAUAAUAAUUAAUAGCAAGUUAUGCCUACAUAACCAGCCCCUUCUGAUCUGAGACAGAUGAGCUUCCCCGGGCAGAAGCUCUCCACACUUUCCCUAUGGUUUGCUGUUGGAAAGAGAGCAUUCCUCUGCGUGUGCCCUUGGACAAGGAAGAAGAUGAGAGGCCUGUGCUGCAUCUCCCUGGACUCCACCAAUGCCUAUCAUUCUCCUGAUGCUUUUGCUGGCACCCAUUUUUCCUGCUAUGAAGAGG
rnacentral:lncRNA from 1 species